rnacentral:rRNA from 1 species
AGAAUCAACGCUGGCGGCGUGCCUAACACAUGCAAGUCGAACGAGAAAGUGGAGCAAUCCAUGAGUAAAGUGGCGCACGGGUGAGUAACACGUGACUAACCUACCCUUGAGUGGGGGAUAAACCUAGGGAAACCUGGGCUAAUACCGCAUAAUACCUUCGGGUCAAAGGAGCAAUUCGCUUUAGGAGGGGGUCGCGGCCGAUUAGUUAGUUGGCGGGGUAAUGGCCCACCAAGACGAUGAUCGGUAUCC